rnacentral:rRNA from 1 species
GAUGAACGCUGACAGAAUGCUUAACACAUGCAAGUCUACUUGAACUUCGGUUUGGGUGGCGGACGGGUGAGUAACGCGUAAAGAACUUGCCUCACAGUUAGGGACAACAUUUGGAAACGAAUGCUAAUACCUGAUAUUAUGAUUUUAGGGCAUCCUAAGAUUAUGAAAGCUAUAUGCGCUGUGAGAGAGCUUUGCGUCUCAUUAGCUAGUUGGAGAGGUAACGGCUCACCAAGGCGAUGAUGGGUAGCCGGCCUGAGAGGGUGAACGGCCACAAGGGGACUGAGACACGGCCCUUACUCCUACGGGAGGCAGCAGUGGGGAAUAUUGGACAAUGGACCAAAAGUCUGAUCCAGCAAUUCUGUGUGCACGAUGACGUUUUUCGGAAUGUAAAGUGCUUUCAGUUGGGAAGAAAAAAAUGACGGUACCAACAGAAGAAGUGACGGCUAAAUACGUGCCAGCCGCCGCAGUAACAC